UAAAGAUUUUUGUUUGUUUGUUUUCUUCAUAUAGAGCUUGUACAUAUUUUUUUAGAUUAAUAACUUUCUUUUUUGGGAGGUCCUAAUGUAAAUGAUACUGUGUUUUUCAUUUCACAUUUCACUUGUUUGUUACUAGUAUCUAGAAAGGCAGUUAACUUUUGUGUAUCAACCUUGUAUGACACAGUGUUGCUGUAAUUGCUUAUUAGUUUCAGGAAUGUUCUUGUGGAUUCUUUCAGAUUUUUCACAAGAUGAUCGUGUCAUCUGAAAUGGUUUGUUUUGUUUGUUUUGUGGACGGCAUAGGAUAGGUGGAGGAAAGCCUUCGUCACACACUCCAUGAAUCAGUGCAGUGUCAUCUCUUCCCAGUGAGGGUGUCACCCCUCUCCCCUGUCUUCUCUGCAAAGUGUCUUGGGCUCCACAGAUGACCUGAGGCUGCCCGUGUCACUGCUGCCCCCAUGCAGGGCUCAGGCUCCAGGCUCCUCUUAUCCCUCAUUUGCUUUAAAACUCUCCUCUCUUUUUAAAAUUCAUAAAUUAAGUUCUAUUGCAGGUAUGGUUGAUAUAUACAGUGUUUUAGUAGUUUUACAUGUACAACAUAAUGAUUUGAUACUCAGAUCUGUUUUUUUUUUUUAAAUCUUAAAACAAAUUUUUUUGAAUGUUUGUUUAUUUUUGAGGGAGAGAGAGAGACAAGACAGAGUGUGAGCAGGGGAGGAGCAGAGAGAAAGGGAGACACAGAAUCCAAAACGGGCUCCAGGCUGUGAGCUGUCAGCACAGAGCCUGACACAGGGCUCAAAUUCACAAACUGGGAAAUCAUGGUCUGAGCCAAAAUCAGAUGCUUAACUGACUGAGCCACCCAGGCAUCCCUAAAGUUGUUUUUUUUUUAAUUGCAGUGGAAAAGAAGUCACAAAAAGUGGCUUUAGGUCAUGGAAAAUGUAUGGAACAGGGACAGGAAUUUACCAACCAGUACUUCUGUGAGAUACCUUUUUUCUUUUUUUAAGUUUUAUUUUAUUUGAGAGAGAGAGAGACAGUGCAAGUGGGGGAGGGGCAGAGAGAAGGAAGGUGAGAAUCCCAGGCAGGUUUUGCACCGCCAGCACAGAGCCUGACACGCGGCGCAAACUCCCCAAAUUGUGUAAUCGUGACCUGAGCCUAAACCAAGAGUCGGGCGCUUAACCGACUGAGCCAGCCCGGAGCCCCAUCUCUGUGACAUAUCUUGAGUAACUACAUAAGACCUGCUGAAGAGCCAUCCUCUCUCUCCUAAAAUAGACCAGGCAGCCUCUCCAUAUCUAGGGCAUCCCUACAUCACUGACUACUUCCUGGUGACCCUUGGGGUGUGUGUGUGUGUGUGUGUGUGUGUGUGUGUGUGUGUAUAAAGUUAUGUUUAAAUUAUUUUUGAGAGCAUUGUUCUAUAAGAUACUGGGUUUUUUUUUCUUUAAAUAUUUGCUGAAAAUGCAUUUUAUUAUUUCUUCUUAUGAAAAAAUAGUAUUUUUUAAAAAAAAUCACUCAAAUAUAGCAGUUUUUCUUAGAAUUAAAGUUAGUGACCAGAGCCUAUAUUGCAUGUAUAAAUGUUAACAUGUAGAAAAAUUACUUUACAUCAUAUCUGCUCCGUGGAAAUUGUUUGUAUGAUUUAAUGUAUUUGAAGAGAUUUAUGUUGCUCUGUUUCCUUAAAUAAAAGAUUCCUGUGGAAUAUUUCAGGGUGAAAGAGGUCUAGAGAACUUCCCAUUUUAGAAACAAAAGAAACUCACUGAUUUUCCUUACCAAGAGUUAUGGACAGAAAAUACAUGAAAUUAGAUCAGUAGGCUGCAAAAUUCACCUUAAGUUCAUUAAAUAUAAUGCUUGCCUGGAAUUCUCUUUUCUCACAGAAGUACUCUGUGUGUAGACUUCUCUUUGUAGAAACAAGGAUCUGAGGUUGAAGGAGGAUUUUAAUUUCUUUAUCAAAAACAAUUUACUCUCUCAUAAAAAUAAAUAUCUUUUUAAAAAAAUUAAAAUUUUAUUCUUUUGUGUCAUUUAAAAUUGUAUCUCAGUGUUAAAUUUCCCUUUUUAACUUGUCACGGUGGAGUCCUAGAUGUGCAUUGCAAGGUUAAACAUUAUUAUUACUGAUCUAUGUGUCUUUGAAAGCAUCUGACUUAGAAAGGAGAUUUCUAAUAUAUUAGUUUUUGGGUUUUUUUUUGGAGUCAUUGUACAUAUGUUAAGCAUGAUAGAUCUAUUAUACAAUUUAAAAAUGCCAUUAUGGGGCAUCUGGGUGGCUCAGUUGGUUGAGUGUCCAACUCUUGAUUUCAGCUCAGGUCAUGAUCUCAAGGUCAUGAGUUUGAGCCAUGUGCCAAGCUUUGUGCUGACAAUAUGGAGCCUGCUUGGGAUGCUGUCUCUUAUUCUCUCGCUGUCUCACCCUCUUCUCGUCCCCUGUUUGCCUGCGCUCUUGUGCAUGCUUGCUCUUUCUCUCUCAGAAUAAAUAAACAUUAACAAAAAUAAAAACACCCUUCAUUAAAUAUGUUUACAAUAUUCUGUACUUUUUUUUUUUUUAGAAUUGGAAGACAAUUGUAAAUUAUAAGCCUAUACCAAAUUGUACCUGAAUUAUUUUCAGUGCCAAGAAUAUUUCAGUAUAGUUUUAGUUUAAAAAAAAAAUAAAUCAGCAAACUUAAAAUUUAGGAUGUGAAAAUGAUAGUUCUUUAAUCCAAUUAUGUAUAAAAACAUUUUUUAAAAAGUAAGAAGAUAAUCUUCUAUAUAAAAAAUCCCUGUAAUUCAAUAGAAUAUUUGGUAUUAUAGUAAGCAAUGUAAGGGUAUGGUAGAAUCCUUUAAAACCUUAGAAAUAUGUUUGAAAGUCCUUUUUAAAGUACGAUAUUCUGUGUUACAGAGGCAAGACUGGAAUGCAUUGGUAUUAUAAAAGCCUUUUACCUGUGGAGAAGUUAAGGCAAACCACCAAGAUAACAUAAUGUUUAAAUCUUACUGCAGUUUUAAAUUUUGGUAUACAAAGUCAUUAGCUUCAGAAAGCAUAGAACUCUUUUGGAAUUGUGCUAGCUUGCUUUCUAAAUAUACAAAGGAAAAUAAUUUUCUGAUGAGGAAAAGCUAGUGUGACAUUGGUGUUACAAAAUUGAGAUGUACCUCCUAGACUUGUCCAGGUUGAGAGAAGGGACAUUUUUAACUUUUAGGUGAGAGGUAGGUGGAGAGAUGUUCUUACUUGGGGAAAAACAUGAGAUUGGGAUACAGAAGUCUGUUAACUCUAUAAUUAAUAAACUACUUGAGCCAUUGGGACAGCUGGGGGAUUUUGACAUCUAAUUGAGUUAGGAGAGCAAACAACCAUGGAUUUCUGUCUUUUAUUUAUAUCUUUUUGUCAGGUAUUAGUUUUAAAGUCUGAUAUUUAUAUAUGAGAGCCAAAUAGAAAGAUACUAUGUUGAACCACUUGCAUACAGAUCUUUUGGGCGGUUGGGUUGAACUUCUUAAGUAAUUAAUUGCAUUAACUUGUUGAAUAGAAUUUCUUUUUAUUUAAAAAUUUUUAAUGUCUAUUUUUGAGAGAGAGAGAGAGAGACAGAGAGAGUACUAGCAGGGGAGAGAGGAGGACAGAGGGAGAGGAGACACAGAAUCUGAAGCAGGCUCCACACUCUGAGCUGUCAGCAGGUAGGCCGAUGUAGGGCUCCAAGUCAUGAACCGUGAGGUCAUGACCUUAGCCGAAGUUGGAUGUUUAACCUACUCAGCCACCCAGGUGCCCCAUACUUGCUUUAUUAAAAGAAUAUUUCAGUCAUUUUGAUUUUUAUAGUAAUUUUGGUAGAGACUUAAAAGAAACAUUAGAAGAUUUGACUUUAUAUUAAUAUUAUAGAGCUUGGUUCGUAGAUAGUUUAUUUCUUGGAUUUGGCGUAAGAUUUUAUGUAAAUAAAUACAAAAGUCAUAGUGUUCUUAACCCUUUUUUAUUAGUGUAAAAUUUUGGUGAAGUAGUAUAGGUCACUGCUGCCUUAGAAUAGGUAUAUCGCCCUAAGCCUCCCUGUGUUUUGUUUAAAAAAAUUUUUUUUAAUUUUUAUUUAUUUUUGAGAGAGGGAGAAUGCGAGCAGGGGAGGGGCAGAGAGAGGGAAAAAGAGGAUUCAAAGCGGGCUCUGUGCUAAGAGCAGAGAGCCCAAUGCUGGGCUUGAUCUCUCAAACUGCGAGCCAAAGGUGGACGCUUAACCAACUGAGCCACCCAAAGCACCCUUUCCAUUUUUAAGAUUCUAGAUUGGACUGCCCAGACAACAGUUUAUUUGUACUGUAUCUCAUUUCACAGAGGAUUUUUGGUGACUACUACUGUUGCUACUACUAAUAAGCAUUUAUUAGGUGCAUGCUUACUUUGAGCUAGACAUAUGAUCUUGUCUAAUUCCUACACAAAUCCUAUGAGGUGAGUAUUAUCUGUGUUUUGCAGUUGAGAAAAUGAUGCUUAGAGGAGUUAAGUAACUUGCCAAAAUUUAACCUUCUAAGAGAUGAAGCUAGAAUGCAGAUUUAGGAAAUCUAAUUUUUGCUCCUAAUUUCUAUGGGGGGGGGGGGGAGGGGGGGGUUGCAAACCAGAAUUAAAUGUCCAAACUGGGAAGAAAAAAGAAAAACAAUGGAAUUUCAUGUCUUUAGGUCCCAUGGCUUUUAUGACUGGAUCAUGAAUUUGACUCUGAAUUCACUGUAGGAAAAAAAAAUUGGAAGAGAGCAAAAUGGGUAUGUGAGAAUACCACAUAAAAUCCUUUUCUUAGGACUUAAUUCUCAAAUAGAGUCCCUCUGUGGGAACCUCAAAAAAGAGUCUCUUUGGAAAGUGUUGGGAAUAAUUUCUUUAGUAAUAUUUCUUAUAAUAUAUCUGGUUACAGGUUCAAUAGGACUGCUGCUUUCUGAUCUCACAAUGAAACUUGAGGCAAUAAUGUCAAAGCAUGAUUUGGUCAGAGUUCUGCGAGAUACUAUGAUAGUAUGGACCAAGCAUGCGUGGUUUGGUAUGAUCCAUGUAUGAAAUCCAGAAUACUGAGAAGGAUAGAACGAUGGAGGCUUUGAUGGAGAAGAGAACACAGUGGGAUAGGAUGGAGCUUGUAGCAAAGGUGGGCUAUGGGUACCAAAGAUAAAUAACCUGUCAUAACCUAUUUUAAAAUUUUGCCAAUGCACUCCCUGUGUUUAAGUCCCUUAACAGUUGUGGGAUGGGUUUUGAUUAACCCUGUCAUUUGCAGCUCUUUCUGGUAUUCAGAAUUGCACCCUGAAGGUAUUUUGUUAUGGGGAGAUUUUUGAUAGUGCUAAUAUUCUUUGAGAAGUAUAAAUGUUGUACAUAUACCAUAGCCCCCCUUACCCUUACAGUGAAGACCUGAUAUGGGUCAGAAUCACAUUGGUCUCAGUUUUAAGUGGGGAGUUUUGAGGGAUUUUGAACGGGACUAGGCAUGAAUGUGCAAUCUCUUUGAUCCUUAAAAAAAUUUUUUUUCUAAAUGUGUGUUUGUGAGAGAAAGCGUGAGCUGGGGAGGGGCAGAGAGAGAGGGAGACACAGAAUCUGAAGCAGGCUCCAGGCCCUGAGCUGUCAGCACAGAGCCCAACGCAGGCUGGAACUCACAAACCAUGAGAUCAUGACCUGAGCUGAAGUUGGAUGCUUAACCAACUGAGCUACCCAUGUGUGCCCCUCUUUGAUCUUCUUAAUUCACAUUUUGAACUUUUUUUUCCUUUCUGUAUUUGGAAGUUGAAAGUGUUCAGGUUGUUUACUUGGAAAGCCUCUUAUAGACCUAAGAGCAGCCCUCGUUACCCAUUUGUCUUAUUCACUCAGAAAUGGUGCCUUCUUUUAGUGGCACUUGCCAUAAUUGUCCUAACACAUGUUUGACAUGUAACCCACUGCUUGGGCUCAGUGAAUAUUUGUUGAAUACAGUAGGGAAUAUUGGAGACUCCACUUUUCUAUGUUUGCUUCCUACUGUCCUUUUCUGUGUUUACUGGAUCUGCUUUUUUUUUUUUUUUAUUCAUGUUACCUUCUCUCUUCACAUUCAGAAUUCCCAUAGUGGGUCAAGUUGGUCAGUGACCAUUCAAUCUGGGGUGACCAGAAAGCAGAGUUAUUACACCAGUUAUCACUGAGACCCCCAGUUUCUCUUCCCUUCAACCUUUCGAGGGUUGCCUUUCCCUGGGGUGUGGAGUUCUAUUCUAAUUGGCUGUGGCUUUCGUAAAUGGCUUGCCAGACCCAGAGCUUGAGGAAUCAGUCACUUAUGGGUAGGCAGAGAUUAUAAUGAUGACUGUUGGUAGAGCCUAAAUGGAGAAAUAUAUUUUAUCUUCUACACGUGCUAUUUAUACAUUAACUCAGAAACAGUUUUUAUGGGGGGGUAUAUAAAAUGCAGAAAGUGUAUAUAUUUGUAUUGUGAAAGUUAAAAUUAAAACUUUAAUGAAAAGUUUAUAUUUUUGUUUAGAAGAAUGAUUUUUAAGUUUUCAUAGUUACUUUACUUAUAUCUACUUAUGUUUAAGUAUACCUGUAUAUCCAUAUUUAGGUACAUCUACUUAUAGGAAUAUUUUUUCUUGAUAUACUAAUAACUAUAUCUUCCUGUGUCCAUCUUGUCUUUACAAUUAUUACAAUUGUGAUCUAACAUUGAUAAAAAUAAACAUGUAUAAGGAAAUAACAUCUAUUUUCUUAAAUUUUCUAUAUUUUUAAUGAUAAGAAUAACCAGAAAAUCUUGUGAAUAGAAAACUCUGUUUCUGAAAAUUCCAUUAGGGGUAACAUUAGAUAUCUGCUAAAUCCCUUAGAAAUCUUUGAAGUACAGAUAGUUUGAAUUAUUUUUAUUGAAGAAAUAUAGGCCAGAUUUUCAAAAGUAGCUUCAUUGUUUUUUCAUGAAGUAAAUAUUAGCUGCUAUUCAGUGAGUAAUUUCUUUGUACCACGGAUAACUUUGGAUGUAAUUUUAAUUCAUUCUCCAGAUGAUUCACAAGAUUGGGGGAAUUAUUUAAAUUUUGCAAAUGAAUCUCAGGUUUGGGAUUUGGCCACUUGUUCUCCAAGUUGUAUGACUGGCAAGGAAGAAGAGCUGAGGCUUGAACCCAUCUCCAUCUUAUUCCAAAGCUCAGCCCUUUCCCUUAAGCUGUAUUUAAUUUCUGUUGUCCUAUACAAAUGACUACAUUGCAGUGAAUGAAAAAAAAAAUAGUAUCAUUUUUGGUCCUUCUGAGAAAUUUUUUUAUUACAUCGCAUUUUGUGAGCUUUCAUCUAGGUCCUUCUGUCAUCCGUGUGUAGAUGUUAGAAGAUGAAUGUUCAAUGUAAUGAAUUAAGUAUGUAAAACCAUUAGUCUAAUGACACAAUGACACAGGCUUACCUUCUAAUGUUAUUACGUAUCAGCUUCUGUACUGUUGUGAGCAAUUUUCUUUGACUCCCACCAUAUAUUUAAUAUAAACAAAGCAAGCACAUAUAAAUAUAAUUCUCAUGUUGGAGGCCCUUGGGUGGCUCAGUUGGUUGAGCAUCUGAUUCUUGAUUUGGGCUCAGGUCAUGAUCUCAAGAGCUGUGAGAUUGACCGCUGCAUCAGGCUGCACGCAUGGAGACUGCUCAAGAUUCAUUCUCUCUCUCCCUCUGCCUUCCUCCCUCUCUCUGUCUCUGUCUCUUCCCCCCUCUCUGAAAUAUAAAUAAAUAAAUAAAUCUCAUGUUGAUAGCUGAUAAAUUCAUAGGCUCUUUUGGGAGAUAAUACUCUAGCAAUUUGGGUUCACUUUAUCUAAAUUGUAAAUAAAAUUCGCUUUGAAUGUUCGACGGUAACACUGUAUUUGAUUAACCCAAGACUAGUAUUCUACGGUGUGAAAUCUAGAGUUUUAUCUUCUUUCAGGAUAAAAAUUAUAUCUUUAUAUGUGAACAAAAUUGAUUUAAAGUGAAGUUAAAAAGUACAGUCAGUAUACUUUCACAAGUAAGGAAUGUGAAAUUAACUGGGUUCAACUUACUAUACUAAACACAUAUUACAUUAUCAUUUGUAGGAGCCAUGAUAAAAAAAUUGCAGCAGUGAAUUAACUUGGUAAUGGGCUAGGUUAAUUUGUAGAGAAAAGAUUCAGGCCAAGAUAAGUAAGAAUGUGGAGGAGCUGUAAAAUAGUGAUAUAAGUAUAUCAGAAAAGGCAGAACUUGGAGAGGGCUAAAGUUCAUGUUUCAUCAGAUUGAAUAUUAGAAGCCAAGGGAGUCCAGAGAUAGCUUCAUACUUUUUGGGACAGCUAGGACAGGCUGAUUUUUCUCGUUAAAACUGUUAUGCAAAGAGAAGUUAAUAAAUGUCACCCUUUGACACUCACCCCUCAGUGCAGAUAGAUAGGUGAUGUUCCAAAUUACCCCUAGGGCAACCAAUAAAAAGUUUUUUUCUUACUAGAAAAAUUGGAACUUAGGAAACGCAGGCUUUGAAAAUGGUCACUUACUCCCAAAAUUUGUAACUAGGAAGGGGGAAGAGCUGAGACUCGAAUCCACCUCCAUCUUAUUCCAAAACCCAUGUUCUUUCCUGUUAUGUGAGGAUUAAAAGCAUAUGCCAAAUCAUGCAAAUUUGCAGGCUUUCAAAAAUUUAGGUCUGUGAGUGUCAAAGUGUGGUCUCCAGACCAGCAGCAUUGUCACUUGGUAACUUGUUACAAAUGUAACUAAAACAGAAACUUUGGAAGUGGAGUCAGCAGUCUUUUAACAGGCCCUCCUGGUAAUUCUCAUGCAAGCUGAGUUUGAGAAUCACUGCCUUAGGAUCUUUGCAAUUUGGAACCUUAACACAGAUAAGAAGGGUUCUGUAUAAUGUAGGGCUUUUCCUACUUAGAGUGGUGUUAGGGAUAAACUCAUUUUGUGACUAGUUGAUUGUAAUUCAGGUACAACCUGAAUUAACAACAGUUUCCUCCUUUUCAGUCCCAUGUAGGGAAAAUUUUUAAAAAACAAUCCAAACAAUACAUGUGGUCAAAUUUGAUUUAUCUGAUUUACCUAUUUAAAAAAAAAUAGCCAUCAGGGUGCCUGUCUGGCUCAGCCAGUAGACCACUCACUUGACUCUUGAUCUUGGGAUCAUGAAUUCAAGCCCCACACUGGGUGUGGAGCCUACUCAAAAAAUAAGCUAAAAUAGCUAUCAGCCUUAAUGUUUCUACUCUAGACUUAAUUAACUAUGUUCAGGGAGUUAGAAUUUGGGUAAGAACUACAUAAAAUUUAUAUUAAUCAAAGAAAGAGACCAUUUUUUUUUAAUAAAAGAGAAGUAACUAAUUUUAAUGAAUUAUAUGUAAUUUUAACAAUGUAACUAAUCUGUUAUUGGCCUUAUUUGUGCUUAUAAAAUUUUGGAUAGUUUAAUCAAGAAAUUUUGCUAAAAUAGUAUAAAGUAUUUCAUUCUCUCCCAGCGCUUCAGUAAAGAAUCUUUGUACUGACUGGAUAUUUGAUUGUAUUAAGAGAUUAUUAGUCAUUUGUAUAUGUGUAAGAGAGUGGAUGAUACUUUGGGUAUGUUUAAUAGGGGACUAUUUGUCUUUUGAAGAUACAUAAUUUCAUCUGUAAAUAUUUCAGUAUGUAUCUCAUAUUUGCUCUAAAAUAAUUGGAAUGGGGAUAAUAAGAGUUAAUACAUGGGGGUAGAAGGGUAACAUGGUCAAUCAUGGGUCUGAAUGUUUGUUUCUUUACCCUCCCCGUUUAUAUGUUGAAAUCCUAAUGCCUGAUAUAAGGUAUUAGGCGAUAAGGCUUUUAGGAGGUACUUAGGUAAUGAGGAUGGAGCCCUCAUGAAUGGGAUUAACGUUUUUAUAAAAAGAGACCUCACAGAUCUUCCUAACCCCUUCCACCUGGGAAGAACACCAUGGCGGCUCUGUGAGGUUCUAGUAAUAACCUAGGAAGAGAGCAUUCACCAGAACACCACCAUCCUGGUGCCUACAUCUUGGACUUCUCGGUCUCCAGGACUGUGAAAGAUAAAUUUCUGUUGUUAAUAAACUAUCCAGUCUGUGGUAUUUGUUAGAGCAGCCUGAAGACCAAGACAAGGAGUAUAUAAGGAUAUAUUUUUUUCUCUAAAAACAUGCUUGUAAUGUUUUUUUUCCCCUAAAUUUCUUAAUGUUUAUUGAUUUUUGAGAGAGAGGGAGAAUGAGCAGGCAAGGGGCAGAGAAAGAGGGAGACUGAAGCAGGCGCCAGUCUCUGAGCUGUCAGCACAGAGCCCAGUGUGGGGCUUGAACCCACGAACUGUGAGAUCAUGACCUGACCUUAAGUCAGAUGCUUAACUGCCUGCGCCACCCAGGUGCCUCUGCUUGUAAUAUUUUAAAGUGUAAGGUUGGAAAGAAGAAAAACUAACAAUGAUGUUAACUCAGCACCUUCCUCACACAAGGAAGGCUUGGUUCUUUGGCUAACAUUCCUGGCACGCAUACCUUAUAGUGUCAAAAGAAAACUUCCCUGAGCAAAAAGCCGUUUGAUACACUGCCAUUGGUAGAUAUAAAUUUCCAGUUGUAUAAUUAGGAAAUAACAAAAGCAAAUCAGGAAGAAAAACUAUGAAAAAUGUCACUUUAAAAUACCAUACCAUGGAUACAAAAUUCAUAUAUAAAAAUUUGUCACUUUUCUAUGCACUGAUAAUGAAGUAGCAGAAAGAAAAAUGAAGAAAACAAUUCCAUUGGACACAACAAAUGAAUAAAUAAAAAGCGGAAAUAGACCCAUAAAUACAGAGACCAAUCUGAUGGUUGCCAGAGGGGAAAGGGUAGGAGAAUGGGCAAAACAGGUGAAGGAGAGUGGGAGAUAAAGGCUUCCACUUAAUGACUAAGUCAUGGGCAUAAAAGGUACAGCUUAGGAAAUAUAGUCAAUGGUAUAAUAGUGUUGUAUGGUGACUGAUGGUAGCCAUUCUUGUGAACAUAGCAUAAUGUAUAGACUUGUUGAAUCACUGUGUUAACACACCUGAAACUAUGUAAUGUGUGUCAACUAUACUUCAAUUAAAAAAUGUAUUUAAAAAAAUAUCAUUUGCACUUGCACCAAAAAGAAUGAAGUACCUAGGAAAAAACUUAAUCAAGGAGAUGAAAGACCUUUACUCUGGAAACUAUGAGACAUUGAUAAAAGAAGUUGAAGGUGACACAAAUGGAAAGAUAUACCAUGCUCAUGGAUUCGAAGAAUUAAGACAUAAAAGGCAUCUAGAUUGGUGAGGAAGAAGUAAAACUGUCACUCUUUGCAGAUGACAUGAUACUGUACAUAUAUAGAAUAUCCUAAAGACUCCAUCAAGAAACUGUCAGAACUGAUAAGUUCAGCAAAGUUGCAGUAUACAAAAUUAAUACAGUAAAAAACAGUAACUUGUUCUUUGUUCUGCAAGACAAGCAAACAUUUCUAAUAAAUUGAUAAAUGAGUCAUGUCUUACAGUAUAAGUAGUAUGUGACACCAAAUGUCACAAGAUCACAGCUGAGCCAGUGGUGGUUGAAAUUUGUUUUGUUAUAUACGAGUGCUUUGGGUUACAAGCAUGUUUCCAGAAUGAAUUAUGCUUACAAACCAAGCUUUUACAUAUAUAGAAAUCAUUUGCAUUUCUAUACACUAAUAAUGAAAUAGUAGAAAGAGAAAUUAAGGAAAGAGUCCCAUUUACAGUUGCACUGAAAAGAAUAAAAUACCUAGGAAUAAAUUCAUCCAAGGCGGUGAAAGACCUAUAUUCUGAAAACAAGACGUUGGUGAAAGAAAUUGAAGAUGACACAGACGAAUGGGAAGGUAGACCAUGUUUAUGGAUUGGAAGAAUUAAUAUCAAAAUGUCCAUACUACCAAAAGGGAUCUACAGAUUCAACAGUCUCUAUCAAAAUGCCAAUAGCAUUUCACAGAACUAGAACAAAUAGUCCUAAAAUUUGUAUGGAACCACAGAAGACCUUGAAUACCCAAAACAAUCUUAAGAAAGAAGCUGGAGGUAUCACAAUCCCAGAUGUCAAGACAUAUAUACUACAAAGCUAUAGUAAUCAAAACAGUAUGGUACUUAGAUAAAAAUAGACACACAGAUCAAUGAAAGAGGGUAGAGGGCCAGAAAUAAAGCCACCUUUAUAUUGUCAGUCUCCAAAAAGGAGGCAAGAAUAGACAAUGGGAAAAGAAAGUCUUGUCAAUAAAUGGUGUUGGGAAAACUGGACAGCUACAUGCAAAAGAAUGAAACUGGAUCACUUUCUUACACCAUACACCAAAAUAAACCCAAAAUGGAUUAAAGACCUGAAUGUGAGAACUGAAACCAUAAAACUCCUAGAAGAAAACAGGUAGUAAUCUCUUGGACAUCAGCCUUAGCAACAUAUUUAUGGAUAUGUAUCCUCAGACAAGGGAAACAAAAGCGAAAAUAAACUAUUGAAAAAAAGUUUUAUACAUCAACAUAAAAAAAGCAACCUAGGGAAUGGGAGAAGGUAUUUGCAAAAGGUAUAUCCAAUAAGGGAUUAAUAUCCAAAAUAUGUGAAGAAUUUCUGCAACUGAAUAUCAGACAAAACAAAUAAUCUGAUUUAAAAAUUGGCAGAAGACUUGAAUAGAUAUUUCCCAAAGAAGAUGUACAGAUGGCCAACAGACAUAUGAAAAGAUGCUCAACAUCACUCAUCAUCAGGGAAAUGCAAGUCAAAGCCACAGAGAUCUCACCUUACACAUGUUAGAAUGGCUAGUAUCCAAAAGACAAGUAAAAGUGUUGGCGAGGAUGUGGAGAAAAGGGAACCCUUGUACACUGUUGGUGGGAAGGUAAAUUAGUACAACCAUUGUGGAGUUUGUUCAAAAAGUAAAAAUAUGAAUACCAUAUGAUCCAGUAAUUCCACUAAUGGAAUUUACCCAAAGAAAUGAAAACCCAAAGAAAAUGAAAACACUAUUUCAAAAAGAAGAAUGUACCCCUCUCUUUACUGUAGCUUUGUUUACAAUAGCCAAGAUAUGGAAGCACCCAAGUGUUCAUUGGUAGGUGAAUGGAUAAAGAAGUUGUAGUGUGUAUGUAUAUGAAUGCAUGCAUGUAGACACAAACUAAGCUAUGAAAAUGAAUGAAAUUUUUGUCAGUUGCAACAACAUGGUUGGACCUAGAGGUAUUCAUUAUGCUUAGGGAAA